GCGCCGCCGGGGCCGAGCGGCCAUUGGCGCGGAGCUGGGACAGGGCGGGAGGAGCUCUUUGUCAAACGCUGACGUGCGUAAGAUGCGUUUGUUUAGCAAACAGAAACCCAGGCGUCUGGCAGGGCCCCAGCCAGCUGGGCGAGGCCUGUGGCGACAGGCGGCUGAGCGCGGGCUCGGGGACAGGAGGUACGUGCGACACGGAGUGCCCGGCUGUGCCCCGACGUUUUGCUACGACAGAAACCCCAGUUUUGUAUUAAUUUAACAACGUUACCCCUUCAGGGUGCGGGUCUGAUUGUCCGUUAGGAGACCAAAUUUGAAAACUAAUCCUUUUGCAUCAAGACUUGUGUCUGUCCAACUCCCUCUGUGUGUUUAGUAUAACGUGUCAGUUUAACUUCGGAACAAAUGCUACAUUGAAUUAAAGAUUGCUGAGAUUCCAAAGCCCA